AUUCCCCUAGUAACGGCGAGUGAACCGGGAAGAGCUCAAGCUGAAAAUCUUCGGAAUUGUGGUCUAUAGGUGCGGACUCGCGCAGCCCCAGGUAUAAAUCCGUUCUUGGAAUUGGGUGCCAGAGAGGGUUAGAGCCCCGUCUUUGACUUGGGUAGCUGUGCGUGGCGAGUCUUUACCGGAGAGUCGGCUUGCUUGGGAAUGCAGGCCAAAAUGGGUGGUAAACUUCAUCUAAAGCUAAAUAUUGGCGAGAGACCGAUAGCGAACAAGUACCGCGAGGGAAAGAUGAAAAGGACUUUGAAAAGAGAGUCAAAGAGUGCUUGAAAUUGCCGGGAGGGAAGCGGAUGGGGGC
rnacentral:rRNA from 16 species